AUCCAGAUGACGCGUCCUAAACAGGACGAAAUGUGCCUCAAACUGGAU
rfam:Schistosoma margrebowiei strain Zambia genome assembly, scaffold: SMRZ_contig0000321